GGGCAGAGUUAAGGGUCUGAUUAUGUGUGUCCAAGUGUGAGGAGAACAAGAGGAGAAAGAGCAGAGUAAGGAAACAAAAUAGGAGAAAAUGAGGCAGGAGUAAUGAAGAGAAGUCAUCUUCAUGGACUCCAGUUUCAAAGAUUAACUAUGGAAGAAAUCAGAAUUCAGCUUCCCCAGGGACAGCAAGGCCAAGGAGUUUUCCAGAUCCAUCUUGGCCUCUCCCAAGGCACUUCAAAUGAGAUCUUGGAGGACCAUUAACUAUGGACCUAAUAAGAGGACAAAGAAACCAGCCUUGCAGAGGAACUGACAUUUUUCCUUGUUCCCAGGACACGCAUUGCUCAGACCUACAAGACGCUGAAGCAUGUUUAGAGAUUGAGUUGAGAGGAGGUGGCUGUGGAUUAGAAGAGAGGAGUAACUGAUGAAGUAGAACCCCAGAGGAUACGGGACGGACUGCAUCAACAGCUCAGAGGAAGAGGUCUGGCUUUAAACAGAAGGAAGGACCCCUCACCAGAGUCUGGAAGAUGAAAGCAGAUGAAGACAACUUUUUAACUGAAGGACAGGAAGUGGACAUAAUCUCAUCUGAUGUAUUAAAUAUUUUCAAUAAAGUAGGAGAUAAGAU